UCAUGCUGGCAAUUGUGCUUGGAAUAGUUUCGCUAAUCCUCCAGUAAUCCUGUAGUCCUCCAUAUUCCUUGUCUUGGUUAUAUCCGUGUUGGGCGCCAAUUAUUCCUCCAGUCCUAUGGACUGUUGUCCAGGAAAUAAAAUCACGGUUAACUUUUCCAAUCAAAUAAUUUUUAUUCAGCACUAUGUGCUUUUGUUCAAGUCCGGCUUAAGACUAAAACUCAAAAAUAUGAGCCUUGCCUGAUUCCCAAUACUUGGCACAAUUUCUGCAUUUCUGCUCCUACUGCAUCUGAUACUAUUGUUGUUGUCGUUUAAGGUCCGUAUCCAGCUCUUAAGUAAUUGCUCAAGAAAAAAAUACUAUACAUUAGGGAUAUUCAGACCAGCCUUGUUAAUUCGUUCGUCGUUAUUCGGUAGUUUUUUCUACCGAGUAACGAACUAUCCAUCUGGCAAGCUUGGUAAUAUCGGUAAUAUCACAUCAGCUGUUUGUUUGUUGUUCGUUGCUUUAUAUAUUUUUAAACGGGAAAAAUUAAUUUGGUGCUCACUUCGUGAAUUUGGAAAAAUUUUGCAAAAUGGAACCUCAAAUGAAAAUACGCAGUAGGGCAAAGCCUAAAAAAAAAUGGAGUGAGGAGGAAAACCAUUUGGUUCUAGAAUAUUUACUAGAAAAUGUGGGAAUUGAGAAACCAAACGCCCAAUUGUACUACCAAAAAUUAAUUGAAACAACAAAUAUCGAUGCGACUACGGACAUGUUGUGCUGCAAGGUCCGGUACUGGAAGCAAAUGUAUAAUAAAGCUGAAGGGUGGCGCAAAUCGACUGGUGCUGGAAUAGACGUUGGCGAUGAUGUUUCCUGAAUAAAAGGUAAAUACGGCCAUAAUGUUAAUUGAAACUUUUUUGGUUUUUUAAUAAUUCUCCGUUCUUUCAGCAAAACUUUCACAAAUGUGUCCGAAUUAUGAACGGUUUUCGGUUCUAUUUGGGAGUAAAUCCCAAUCCGGAACCAUCGGGUUCACUUAACGACAAAGCAGAGCAGACAACAGUAGGAGCAGAGGUAGCAACAGUUCCUCCUACCACUCCGUCGUUCCUCGAAAAAGUGAAAAAACGUGCUCCAAAGAAUAGUGAACUUAAAUAUAUACCUAAGAAAAGAGAGCAGUUUUUUGAGCAACGAACAGAAAUUGAACAAAAAAGUUAAAUUUGGAAAAGUUAAGGCUAGAAUUGGACAGAGAAAAGUUAAAUAAAGAUUUUGAAAUAAAAAAAUUGGAGUUAGAGCAAAAAGAAAGACUGGCAAUGAUUGAACUAAAGUACAAAUAUAAUAUAUAAUAAUUUUACAUGUUUUGUGUAAUAAUUUUUAAGAAUGUUUAUGUAAAAAGAAUGAAUUUUAUAUGCUAUUGCUAUGUUUAAUAAUUUUUAAGAAUGUACACAUGUCUCUAAAU